AGAACGAACGCUGGCGGCAGGCUUAACACAUGCAAGUCGAACGCUCGUAGCAAUACGGGAGUGGCAGACGGGUGAGUAACGCGUGGGAACAUACCCUCCGGUUCGGAAUAGCUCAGGGAAACUUGGAUUAAAUACCGGAUACGGCUGAGAGGCGAAAGAUUUAUCGCCGGAGGAUUGGCCCGCGUUCGAUUAGCUUGUUGGUGAGGUAACGGCUCACCAAGGCGAUGAUCGAUAGCUGGUCUGAGAGGAUGAUCAGCCACAUUGGGACUGAGACACGGCCCAAACUCCUACGGGAGGCAGCAGUGGGGAAUAUUGGACAAUGGGCGCAAGCCUGAUCCAGCCAUGCCGCGUGAGUGAUGACGGCCUUAGGGUUGUAAAGCUCUUUCGCUCGGGACGAUAAUGACGGUACCGAGAUAAGAAGCCCCGGCUAACUUCGUGCCAGCAGCCGC
rnacentral:rRNA from 1 species